AGACCCAGCACCCCAGCUCUCACCCCCUUCUCCAGCUUGCUCCAGUUCCCCAGCUCACUCAGGAGAAAUUGGAUUCAACUUAUUGUCUCCAGCUCCCCCCAGACAUGUUUCAGGCUCAUAGGGCACCUCCCUGGCACACGGAUAUUUCUCCACCGUUCUGUAAUGACUUGCAGGUGUGGCAGUGAUUCAUAACAUCUGGGGUCAUCGUGUGGCUGGGCAUAAAGGGGGAGAGCAGAGAGCCUUCACUACUGCUUCACACAGCUGGGCUGCUCCUACCGACAGCAUCCUUUCCAUCAGGCAGCCUUCAGGCUCUGACUUCCUCUCCCAGACGCAGCAAACUUUUCACCACCCAAGGACUAAUUUUAAACACAGGGGCAUUUUCAUGACCUCUGUCUGGACUGUAAUUUCUCUAAUUUUACCUCAUCUCCAGAAAUAUCGGUCUUUGACUAUCUUAAGUUCUUCUUUCUGGAUGUUAAAGAGAAACUUUGUAGCUUGAAACUCCUGACACAAUCAUAUCACCAUCUAUGUCCAGCAGCUGAACAGCAGUCCCCCAGUGCCGGUGGACGAAAUGCUUCUCAAGACGGUUCUGUUUUGGGGCAGAAAGGUUUAGAAACAGGUCAUGAGCGCUGAUUUCCUGCUUUGAAAGAAUAUGUGGAAUACCAGACAGUGCUCGUGUCCAGACAAUAAAGGUGACCUCUUUCUGGCUGUGCCUGCAGGAAAUACAAAGCCCCUGGUGCUUCCUGUGCACAGGCAGAAGCACAUGGAUGGGUUGGGGCUGCUGGCCGUGCCAGGGGGCUCCUCGUGGUUCAGGAUGCACAUCGUGAUGCAGAAGUCAUUAAAGACAAUCUUCCCCAUCACGUUGUGGUCCAGCAAGUCAAAUAGCAGCACGAGCUGGUUUUUAUUCAGGCCUGUCAUAACAGAGCAUGUAAUAAAACUGCAGAUCUGGAAAAGAGUGAGCUCUCAGGCCUUGUCUGCACAAAGCUGUGAGCAGUAAUUAGCAGGAUUUAUUUUAUUUUAAAUGCCUGCUGCUCUCAAACAAGUUGCACAGGCAAUUAAAAACACAGUAGCAGACAAGAGAUACUGUUCGGAAUUAAUAGACGGCAUUAAUGAGAUGUCUGAUUUAUGAAAGUGGCAUAUGCAAUUUCUACAAGGAAGGCAAUGUUAGAGUACCCAUGAUUUUCUGUCUUCCUUUUCUUCCACUAUACCCCAAAGAAAAAAAAUGCAAAAAACUUUUUUCAGUAAACCAGAAACAUUGGGAAAAAAAAAACUAUUUUUCUCCUGAAUCGCUGCCAGUGGCUCAGUCCAUGGGAAGAGGUGUCGUCUGAGCUGGAGCACCGUGGUGGCUUGCAAAAGCACGGGAAUAGACUCCAGACCUGCAGGCAGGACAUGAGGAAGCUGUGAACCAGCAGACCAGCAUCUGCGAACAGCCCCAUGUGGAGAAAACUGUUGGCAACAAACCCACCUGCUUUGUAGCGUGGAGCACGGUCGGUUUAUGGAAAGGAUUACAUGAUGGGGUUGCUGCAGUACUAAGGAAUUAGCUUCGGUGAGCCAGAAAUUCACUCCUGCCCUAUGUUCCUGGCAUCUUGCUUGUACAGCUGUAAAAAUCUCCUUUAUCACCACCCUGGGUUUUUCGUAUGUCGAUUAUCUGCUCACUGGGGCCACGAGCUGGUUAUCGUGUUUGCGCAGUGCUAGCAAGCCUGACUGGGGGCUUUACGAGCUGCUGGGAUGCAGGGGGUGAUGUUACUAUAAAAUCAAACAGGUUUAUUGGGCUUUCGGACCUUUUUCUGUUUCACAGAUAGGGAAGGAAGCAAUUGAAGGGGGAAAGGGAUACCCUCAGUGGGAGCUGAAAAUCCCCCUCAGCUGCUCCAAGAGGUCCCACGAGCCGUACAUGGAUCAGGAGCAGCCAGGCCAGGUAACUGCAUCCAGGGUGUGAUACAGCAGGGAGGACGUGCUGGUGUGUGCCGUAACCGAAAGCUCUUUGGGGUAUUUCCAAGUACUUGUAUCAGCUAGCGGCUAGGUAAUUAGUAUUACGGAGCACUGCAUUUGUUGUAACAUCUGAAGUGCAGUGUUUGUAAUCUCCGGAUUUAAAUCCUAGGCGAUGUAGCGUUCCGUAUAUCUCUUUUCAAAACAUUACACAGGGCCUGUAAUUUUAUAGCAUUAAUGCCAAUCUCAUUUUGGAGAAGUGCUUACUGUUAGGGCUUUCUCGCACUGAAAAUCCAGGCGCUGGAAAUGCUGUGCCAGUGCCACUGACACUAAGCAGAACGGUUCAUCUAAGUACAGACGCUGCAGAAAACACCCAGAUUUCAGCUUAAUCUCCCAAACAGAACUAGCACCAGGGCACUGACCCCUCACAAUAAGAAAACUCUGCCCUAGAACCAGAACACAGCCUCUGUCACACACUUCAAUGCUUUUUC